GACGAACGCUGGCGGCGUGCUUAACACAUGCAAGUCGAACGGAAAGGCCCUGCUUGCAGGGUACUCGAGUGGCGAACGGGUGAGUAACACGUGGGUGAUCUGCCCUGCACUUCGGGAUAAGCCUGGGAAACUGGGUCUAAUACCGGAUAGGAGCCAUUUUUAGUGUGAUGGUUGGAAAGUUUUUUCGGUGUAGGAUGAGCUCGCGGCCUAUCAGCUUGUUGGUGGGGUAAUGGCCUACCAAGGCGGCGACGGGUAGCCGGCCUGAGAGGGUGGACGGCCACAUUGGGACUGGGAUACGGCCCAGACUCCUACGGGAGGCAGCAGUGGGGAAUAUUGCACAAUGGGCGCAAGCCUGAUGCAGCGACGCCGCGUGGGGGAUGACGGCCUUCGGGUUGGAAACUCCGUUCGCUAGGGACGAAGCUUUUUGUGACGGUACCUAGAGAAGAAGCACCGGCUAACUACGUG
rnacentral:rRNA from 1 species